AGCAGUGUAGCAUAGUGGUAAGGAGCAGGGCUCAUAACCAAAUGGUUGCUGGUUCAAAUCCUGUUGCAGCAC
rnacentral:tRNA from 1 species